GCCGUGGUUUCUUCAACUAAGGACUUGAUCUCCCAAGGCACUAGAUUAGGGUUUCGAAUGGCAUCCACAAGAGGGCCGAAGAGGUAGUGGCAGAUUGUGCAAAACCAUCGAUCACGAUGCCGGAGGAAUCUCGACACACGUAGGCCACCGAAGCUUUGCUACAAUUGUACUGCUUCGUCUCGGUUUCACCCCAUAAUAGCAUCUAUUGGACUUGGCGUUUGCUAAAGCCGUAUGCAUGACUUGUUCCAGGUUUGGUUGCUGUUGGCGAAAGAUGAAGUUGUUGCGGGCUUUCCAGAUUUGCCAAAUGAUGGAUGCAGUUGUCUUCAAAUCUGGUAAGCCGUCUCUGUUUUCAAUUAAGUCGACCAACCAUGAUUCUAUCCGAUGAACUCCACGGAAAUGUUGCUUUAUGUUGAUUGCUGGGUUGAACUAGAUAUUUUGAGUCCAUGGGCUAAGAAAAGAUGUUCUGGUGUUUUUAGGAUCUGAUCAUUGCACAUACAGCAAUUUGGAUAUGAUAAUAUGUGUCGAUGGUAUAGAUUUUCUCUA